rnacentral:lncRNA from 1 species
UUGCGCCAAUUGCGGGAACAGUUUGAGCCUUCCUUGAUGCCAUUAAUUUUGGAAGUGUGCUCGAAUUUCUUGAACGGAGAAAGAGAUGAGAGGUAGAGAUGGUCCCACUGGGCGUGCCAAUUUGUGAACACGAAAAUUUCCUGAAACGAAAGAGACAAGAACAACAUGCACAAACAAAUAUUUGUAUUUGAUGAUUUUGGGUUACAAUCUCUCUCUAUUUUGAUCCUCUGAUUCGAUCUCCGUAAGGUGUUGAUUUAUGAAUAUUUUGUUGAUCUAAGGGCCGUCAAGGCUUGAUCUUGGAUGAAUAGUUGGAAGUUUCUUCAAGGGCUUUUGGGCUUGAUCUUGAAGGUUGAUGGAUGAACAGAUCUUCAAGGGCUUUUGGGCUUGAUCUUAAAGAACGGUUGGAUGUGUGGAUUUGUUGAUCCAAAGGGCCGUUGAGGCUUGAUCUUAGGAUGAACGGAUGAUGAACAAUGAACACUUUCUUCAAGGGCUGUCGAGGCUUGAUCUUGAAUUGGUGGAUGAUUAUUGAUCCAAGGGCCGUCGGGGCUUGAUCUUGGAUGAAUGAUGAACGAAGAACGAAGAAGGCUUUCUUCAAGGGCCGUUGGGGCUUGAUCUUGAAGGUGGAUGAUUGUUGAUCCAAGGGCCGUCGAGGCUUGAUCUUGGGAGAACGAUGAACGAAGAACGAAGAAGGCUUUCUUGAUUCUUCGGGAAUCUGGAUGCUUGAGAGCUUUGAAGUUUUAGAGCUUCAGAGCUUCAGAAUUUUGCCUAAUGAUUUUGGUUUCCUCAAAAUGAAUGAAAUUGGCUUCUAUUUAUAGAAUUUCCAAGGCCUAAUUUUGAAUAUAAUAUUCCAGAUGAAAUAAGUCGUUUCUGCCAGGUGUUGA